rnacentral:rRNA from 1 species
GUGAGCAACCUGGCCUUCAGAGGGGGAUAACGUCUGGAAACGGACGCUAAUACCGCAUGACAUGGCGGAGUCGCAUGGCUCUGUCAUCAAAGGAGUAAUCCGCUGAAGGAUGGGCUCGCGUCCGAUUAGGUAGUUGGUGAGGUAACGGCUCACCAAGCCCGCGAUCGGUAGCCGGACUGAGAGGUUGGCCGGCCACAUUGGGACUGAGACACGGCCCAGACUCCUACGGGAGGCAGCAGUGGGGGAUAUUGCACAAUGGAGGAAACUCUGAUGCAGCGACGCCGCGUGAGGGAAGAAGGUCUUCGGAUUGUAAACCUCUGUCUUCGGGGACGAACAAAUGACGGUACCCGAGGAGGAAGCCACGGCUAACUACGUGCCAGCAGCCGCGGUAAUACGUAGGUGGCAAGCGUUGUCCGGAAUUACUGGGUGUAAAGGGUGCGCAGGCGGGGCGGCAAGUUGGAUGUGAAAACUCCGGGCUCAACCCGGAGCCUGCAUUCAAAACUGUCGCUCUUGAGUGAA